CAACCUGCCCUUCAGAGGGGGACAACAGUUGGAAACGACUGCUAAUACCGCAUACGAUCUAACCUCGGCAUCGAGGAUGGAUGAAAGGUGGCCUCUAUUUAUAAGCUAUCACUGAAGGAGGGGAUUGCGUCUGAUUAGCUAGUUGGAGGGGUAACGGCCCACCAAGGCGAUGAUCAGUAGCCGGUCUGAGAGGAUGAACGGCCACAUUGGGACUGAGACACGGCCCAA
rnacentral:rRNA from 1 species